rnacentral:lncRNA from 1 species
CCAGCUGGUACAACUGAGGCUGCAGCCAGGGCCAAUGGGCCGGGGAGCAGGAGGCCGGGACUGGGAGCCCUGGGGCCAGCUGGGCUCUGCCAGAUACCUGGGUCACUUGGAGGCCCCUGGAAGGCCCCCUGGACUUUCUGCCACAUUGCUCAGGGCAAUGAGGGGCACAGAGGACAGUGUGUGGCUAUCUCUGGGUCUCUGUUCUCCCAGGUGGACCAGUGGGGGUUGUGGCGAUGCUGUCCAGGGUGAGGUCCAGCUACGGUUGCCGUCCUGUCUGUCAGCACCAGCACCCAGCACAUCUGUAGGGCCUGGGCCCCGGACCCAGCCUGAGGGUUAUGAGGAGGUUUCCUGAAGGAGAAAAGCCAGAGUGGAGUCUGGAAUGGAGCAGGGGGGACCAUGGCCUGCCCUCAGUCUGCUAGGUGGGGCUGGAACCUGGGGUUUUGCUUGGGUGUGAAGAAGGAAGAGGCUGGGGAUGCAGCUAGGUGCUGGUUCCUCAUAGACCGAGUCAUGAUUUAUGGGGACCCUCAAUUAUAUCCCCUUAGCAGGGGCCACAAAGUCUCAAAUCUGCCCAGAAAUCCACACCUCGGAGCUCAGGUGAGGUCUUCUUCAGGUUCUCCCUCUGCAGUGCAGAUACUGUCAGAAAGAGCAAGCUACAAAUGGAGAAGUCAACAACACUCUAGUGAGAAUUACCCUGCCAAUUAAUUUUCUCAGAAAUCGGGGACUCAGGGACCGCUUGCUGCCGAGGCUGCCACCUCAGCUGCCUGUCUGUGAAAUGGGUCCAUGUGUCCCCAUGCCUUGGCCCGUCUCCUCUUCCCUACAACAGGCUGCUGUGCAGCCUGGGGCCCUUUCCAGGCCACCUUCUCCAUCUGCUCACUGAGGAGGGACCCCUGAGUCAGCGAGGCUCCAGCUUGGCUGCACCCAGCUGAAAGGUUAUCCUGCUGAUACCCCACCACUUAUGGAAUGAUGGACCUUUUCCCCACUGGAUUAGAAUGUCCUUUUUGUGUAUCAUCGACCCUGAACAACCCAAGUUUGAGCCGUGUGGGUGCACUUCUACGUGGAUUUUCUUCCUCCUCUGUCACCCGAGACAGUAAGAGCCACCCCUCCUCCUCCCCAGCUGACUCAACGUGAAGAUGACGAGGAUGAAGACCUUUACAAUGAUCUGCUUAUGCUGAAUGAAUAUCUUUUCUCUUCCUUACUUUACUUUAUUGUAAUACAUGAAGCAUACAAAAUGUGUUAA